GAUGAAGAACGCAGCGAAAUGCGAUAAGUAAUGCGAAUUGCAGAAUUCAGUGAAUCAUCGAAUCUUUGAACGCACAUUGCGCCCGCUAGUAUUCUGGCGGGCAUGCCUGUCUGAGCGUCAUUUCAACCCUCGCCCCCGGCUUUUGCUGGGAGCGGUGUUGGGGAUCGGCCGCCCGUCACUGGGAGGCCGGCCCCGAAAUAGAGUGGCGACCACGCCGUGUGCUCCUCUGCGUAGUAGUAAAUCACCUCGCAGGCGGACAGCGGUGCGGCCUGCCGUAAAACCCCCAACUCUUUCUGUUUGACCUCAGAUCAGGUAGGAAUACCCGCUGAACUUAAGCAUAUCAAUAAGCGGAGGA
rnacentral:misc_RNA from 1 species